ACAGCCACAUCAUGUUGAAACACCUAUUCCCAUAUAAUCCCUGAAGUUAAGCAAUGUCAAGCCUUGUCAGUAUGUAGAUGGGUGACCACUUGGGAAAACCAGUUGCUGUAAG